GCCGAUGUCGCAUAGUGGCUUAGUGCGGUGGUCUUGAAAACCAUUGAUCUGAAAGGAUCCCAGAGUUCGAAUCUCUGCAUCGGCG
rnacentral:tRNA from 1 species